rnacentral:rRNA from 1 species
UACGAAGGGGGCUAGCGUUGUUCGGAAUUACUGGGCGUAAAGCGUGCGCAGGCGGCUUCUCAAGUCAGGGGUGAAAGCCCAGAGCUCAACUCUGGAAUUGCCUUUGAGACUGAGUGGCUUGAGUACGGGAGAGGUGGAGUGGAAUUCCCAGUGAUAGAGGUGAAAUUCGUAAGAUAUUGGGAAGAACACCGGUGGCGAAGGCGGCGUCACUGGCCCGGUAACUGACGGCUCAUGCACGACAGCGUGGGGAUCAAACAGG